AGCAGUGAAAUUUGCUGUCAGUUAACGAGAGUUGAUAACCGACGGCGGGAAAACCUGCAAUUUUUCGAUUCAACUUAGUUGCUUUGCUUAACUUAGGAAAACAGUUUUAUUAUUUUCAGCUGAUCAGGUAUAACGGGUAGCAAACAACGGCCAGCAAAAGCGCUCCCAACAAUAAACACAAUGUCAGAUUGAACAACAAUAAUAAUAUUGGCCAAAAGAGACUAAAAAGUGAAGCAGCAUUUGGUUGACGGCCGCCGAUAAGAAGAGGCCGAAGACAAACGCAAGCCCACGACACUUUGGACUUUCCCUUUUUGUCGUCAUCGUCUUUGUCGUGGACGUUGCUGACAUAAUCAAAAGUCCGAUGAGUUAUGUAGGAGUGAAGGAGGAGGAGGAGGAGGAGGCGGUACGAAAAUUGGAUGCAUAAAUCGCGCGCAAUGGUCGCAGUAACGCAGCAGCUGAUGUUGCCAAGUUGUCUUCUUCUUUAUCGGAGACUCGUUAGCAUACGUGUUAAUAUAACAGGCAGCGAAGCGAUAUCAUCGCACGCAUUUCAAGUGACUAUGAAUGUUAAGUGUCGAGGGCUGGGUAUUUGUGUUUGAAUUUGUAUUUGGCUUCGAGCGUAACUCUAGACAUAUUGCGUAUACCAAUCGCAUUGAGAAUGCUUCUGAAGCUGCCGUGACGAAACGCAUGUCAACGAUAUUAAAGUUAGAUGGCGAAAGACUGCUGCCCGAAGAUGUUGCAAUUUCCAUAUGUCACGGUUUUAUGACGGCAGCAAUGGGCUCAUCAAAAAUAAGUACUUUAAAUCACUGCAAUAUUAUUUAAGUUAAUUUGACGUAGCUGCACAAUGCCAAAAUUAAAGGAACCAAUCAGCGCCAAUAAAAAUGACAGAGAUAUGUAUGUGAGCAAAAGGAUUGUAAAUAGCCAAAACUGCUGAUUGCUUAUAUGGGACCUAAUGACAUAGUUGCCAGAUGUUGGUAAGAUUUUGAUUGUGAUAUGUAUGUUGAAAGAAUUUUGAAGCUUG